rnacentral:rRNA from 1 species
UACAGAGGGUGCGAGCGUUAAUCGGAAUUACUGGGCGUAAAGCGCGCGUAGGCGGCUUGUUAAGUCGGAUGUGAAAUCCCUGGGCUCAACCUAGGCAUUGCAUUCGAUACUGGCAAGCUAGAGUAUGGGAGAGGAAGGUAGAAUUCCAGGUGUAGCGGUGAAAUGCGUAGAGAUCUGGAGGAAUACCGAUGGCGAAGGCAGCCUUCUGGCCUAAUACUGACGCUGAGGUGCGAAAGCAUGGGGAGCUAACAGG